AUACGGAGGUUGCGAGCGUUGUUCGGAUUUACUGGGCGUAAAGAGAGCGCAGGCGGCUUGGUCAGUCUAAAGUGAAAGUCCGGGGCUCAACCUCGGAAGUGCUUUGGAUACUGCCAGGCUUGAGUACGUGAGGGGUAGGCGGAAUUCCAGGUGUAGCGGUGAAAUGCGUAGAUAUCUGGAGGAACAUCGGUGGCGAAAGCGGCCUACUGGCACGAAACUGACGCUGAGGCUCGAAAGCGUGGGGAGCGAACGGGAUUAGAAACCCCGGUAGUCC
rnacentral:rRNA from 1 species